AUUGAACGCUGGCGGCAGGCCUAACACAUGCAAGUCGAGCGGAUGAAGGGAGCUUGCUCCUGGAUUCAGCGGCGGACGGGUGAGUAAUGCCUAGGAAUCUGCCUGGUAGUGGGGGAUAACGUCCGGAAACGGGCGCUAAUACCGCAUACGUCCUGAGGGAGAAAGUGGGGGAUCUUCGGACCUCACGCUAUCAGAUGAGCCUAGGUCGGAUUAGCUAGUUGGUGGGGUAAAGGCCUACCAAGGCGACGAUCCGUAACUGGUCUGAGAGGAUGAUCAGUCACACUGGAACUGAGACACGGUCCAGACUCCUACGGGAGGCAGCAGUGGGGAAUAUUGGACAAUGGGCGAAAGCCUGAUCCAGCCAUGCCGCGUGUGUGAAGAAGGUCUUCGGAUUGUAAAGCACUUUAAGUUGGGAGGAAGGGAAGUAAGUUAAUACCUUGCUGUUUUGACGUUACCAACAGAAUAAGCCCCGGCUAACUUCGUG
rnacentral:rRNA from 1 species